UCGCCAGAAAGCCACGGCUAACUACGUGCCAGCAGCCGCGGUAAUACGUAGGUGGCAAGCGUUAUCCGGAAUCAUUGGGCGUAAAGGGUGCGUAGGCGGCUUCUUAAGUUUGUAGUGAAAUCGUAGGGCUCAACUCUAUCUAGCUACAAAAACUGGGAAGCUGGAGUGCGGUAGAGGCUAGUGGAAUUCCUAGUGUAGCGGUAAAAUGCGUAGAUAUUAGGAGGAACACCGGUGGCGAAGGCGACUAGCUGGGCCGUAACUGACGCUGAGGCACGAAAGCGUGGGGAGCAAAUAGGAUUAGAUACCCUAGUAGUCCACGCCGUAAACGAUGAAUACUAAGUGUUGGAGAAAUUCAGUGCUGCAGUUAACGCAAUAAGUAUUCCGCCUGGGGAGUAUGCACGCAAGUGUGAAACUCAAAGGAAUUGACGGGGACCCGCACAAGCGGUGGAUUAUGUGGUUUAAUUCGAUGCAACGCGAAGAACCUUACCAAGUCUUGACAUCCCUGGCAAAGCCCUAGAGAUAGGGUGGAGGUUAUCCGGGUGACAGGUGGUGCAUGGUUGUCGUCAGCUCGUGUCGUGAGAUGUUGGGUUAAGUCCCGCAACGAGCGCAACCCUUGUCUUCAGUUACCAUCAUUCAGUUGGGGACUCUGGAGAGACUGCCGGUGACAAACCGGAGGAAGGUGGGGAUGACGUCAAAUCAGCAUGCCCCUUAUGACUUGGGCUACACACGUAAUACAAUGGCGCACACAAAGGGAAGCAAUACCGCGAGGUGGAGCAAAUCUCACAAAUUGCGUCUCAGUUCGGAUUAGAGUCUGCAACUCGACUCUAUGAAGUUGGAAUCGCUAGUAAUCGUGGAUCAGCACGCCACGGUGAAUACGUUCUCGGGUCUUGUACACACCGCCCG
rnacentral:rRNA from 1 species